UAAUAAAUGUGAAUUCUUCUUCCUGGAAAAAGUAAGACAUUCCCUGAAAAUAAGACCUAGCGCAUUUUUCAGAGCAAAAAUUAAUAUAAGACACUGUCUUAUUUUCGGGGAAAUACGGUACAAGGAAGUGACACAAACACUACGGUUCGCUAUAGCACUUCAGAAACAAAAAUGAGUCAUUCUUUUACCCGGAAGAUCUUAGCAUUAUUUAAUGUUUUCAUUAACACUCGGCCAUCCGGCCUUGAAAAAUCACCAUGGAAAGAGAAGAUAGGCAUUAGCACAGCUUGGGUUUCAAAGAAGAUUAAAAGGCAAGAAGAACUUCUAACAGUGAGUAAAUUAUCUAAUUAUACAAAGAAGAAAAUAAUGGCCGUUUUUCACAUCGCCAGCACUAGAAUCAGCACAGAAAUUUAUGAGAUAUCGCCGAUUCUAAGCGUCAGUUGAUGGAGGGAUGAUGGAACGUUCCGCUCCAAGAUUCGCACUGAUGACAGGUAUGUCCUGUAAGUAAGUAAAGAACCGUGUAAAGUAUAAUGUUUUUCCGUUUCAGGACGAUGACGCGAGACAACGCAUCGAGAUCGAAUUCAACCUGUGGAGUCAUUGUUAUCUAGUUAAACAGAAGCAAACCUCCGGAAGCUUUACGGCCUAUUCCAUUUUUGUUUGAAAAGUAGUUACACUAUGUAUCUAUUUAUCAAUAAUUUUACUACAUUUGUGUUAAAGAGGGUGAGCGGACGUAACGGAAAGGACGGAGAGAAAAUAAAACCCACCGGAAUUAUAAGUAAUGGACGUGCGUACGUUAGGAGGACGGAAAGGAAGAGUCGUAUGAAAGGAAAUCCGUUUUGUAUACUUGUAUAUAUUCCAAUAAAUGGGAAAUGACACGUGUUGAUUUCAAUAUAAAAUGGCAAUUAUUAAUUUUAUGACAAAAAUUUAAUAUUGCAUUAAUUUUUCUUCGUGAACAUUGAGUUAAAC